rnacentral:rRNA from 1 species
UGGGGAAUAUUGGACAAUGGGCGACAGCCUGAUCCAGCCAUGCCGCGUGUGUGAAGAAGGUCUUCGGAUUGUAAAGCACUUUAAGUUGGGAGGAAGGGCAUUAACCUAAUACGUUAGUGUUUUGACGUUACCGACAGAAUAAGCACCGGCUAGCUCUGUGCCAGCAGCCGCGGUAAUACAGAGGGUGCAAGCGUUAAUCGGAAUUACUGGGCGUAAAGCGCGCGUAGGUGGUUUGUUAAGUUGGAUGUGAAAUCCCCGGGCCCAACCUGGGAACUGCAUUCAAAACUGACUGACUAGAGUAUGGUAGAGGGUGGUGGAAUUUCCUGUGUAGCGGUGAAAUGCGUAGAUAUAGGAAGGAACACCAGUGGCGAAGGCGACCACCUGGACUAAUACUGACACUGAGGUGCGAAAGCGUGGGGAGCAAACA